GGUAAACACGGAGGCACCCACGCAGCCGCAGGCAGUACCUGAACAGGGAGCAGGCGCGCUACAGGUAACAGGUACAACAGCAGCAGUGCUUAUUUUCCCCAGCAGCCAUGUAUGCGUGUAGGUGGGAGACACAAUGAAAAAAAACACCAGAUUGGAGAUCCUGAAGAUGCUAACAGCAUCUUAACUCCUCUGAUGCUGCUUGGCCUGUUGUGUGCAUCCAGCUCUACACCUUGUUAUCUCAGAUUCUCCAGCUUUGGCAGUUCCCACUAUCUCAGCAUCUUAACCAACAUCAUUUUACAUGACCUUGUGAUGCCUCUGGUUUACAUAACUCAGUCCCCAGGUUAUGAAUUAUAUUUACACACUUUAACAAGGAAAAGGGAAAGAGAGACAUCAUAUUGAGGACAUACAGGACGUUGCUGAGGCCUGUUCUGGAAUACUGUGACCAAUUCUGGUCGCCCUGUAAUAGGAAGAAUAAUUAUUAAGCUGAAGAGGGUUCAGAAAAGAUUUACCAGGACGUUGCCGGGUAUGGGAAGGUUUGAGUUAUAAGGAGAGGCUGGGUAGGCUGGGACUUUUUUCACUGGAGUGUAGGAGGUUAAGGGGUGACCUUAUAGAGGUUUAUAAAAUCAUGAGGGGUAUACAUAACGCAAAUGGCAGAUGUCUUUUCCCUAGGAUUUCAAGACUAGGGGUCAUAAUUUUAAGGUGAGAGGAGAGAGAUUUAAAAAAGAUAUGAGGGAAAACUUUUUUACACAGAGAGUGGUUUGUGUGUGGAAUGAACUUCCAGAGGAAAUGGUGGAUGCAGGUGCAGUUAUGAGGUUUAAAAGACAUUAAGAUGAGUACAUGAAUAAGAAACGUUUGGAGGCACAUGUGCCAAGCAGGCAGGUGGGACUAGUUUAGUUUGGGAUUAUGGUCGGCGAGGACUGGUGGGACUGAAGGGUCUGUUUCCAUGCUGUGUGACUCUGUGAGAAAGAGAGAGAGAAAGAGAGAAAAAGGAAUUUUAUAACGUUUUUCAGAUCCUCAACCUGAAGGAAAACUCAGUAAAUUUUGCAAGUGACACAUCUUAGUCUGAAUUGUAAGCUUCAAAAUGGAACUCCAGUACAACCAGUGUGUUCUUUCCAUGUAUUGCUAGUUUUGAAUGUUUUUUGUCCUAUUGGGAUGACACCUCUGAUCACCUCACAGCCAAUUUGACAUUGCAUUUGAGUUGCAAUGUGAGGAAACAAACACCUUUUGAUAAGAUUGUGGAAGUAGAAUAGAAAGAACAGAGGAGGCAUGAGACAUGAAAUCCAUGUUUAAGGAGAAACUUUUCUCACUAGCAUAGGUUGGAUAGCCAGAGGACAAAUUCAAGUAACAUUCACACUGCACAAGUGACAGACAAUGACUGUCUCCUAUGAGGGAAAAUUUAACCCUCUCCUGCUAACUUUCAAUACAUUACUGCUACAUUAUCAAUGUUUUGGGGAUUAAAAUUGAUUAGAAACUGAACUGGACCAGUCACAUAAAUACUGGAAAAGCUUAGAUUUCCAUGGCGAGUCACUCACCUCCUGACUCCCCAGAAAUCUGUCCAUUACUUACAGUCAGGAGUGUGAUGGGAUUUUUCCCCACUUGCCUGGAUGGGUGCAGCUCCAAUAACAUUCAAGGAGCUCAACGCCAUCCAGGGGAAUGCAGUCCUGCUUGAUUGGUCACCACCUUCAACAUUCAGUCUCUCCAUCACAAUGUUUACCACCUAGAAGGCACACUGCAGCUCCUUAGAUUAAUAAUGAUUAUAAGUGGAUAAUCCUUAGACAGCACCUUCCAAACCUGCGACUUCUACCAUCUUGAACGACAAGGGCUGUAGAUGUGUGGGAAUACUACCGACAAGUUGCCUUCCAAGCCGCACCAUCUUCACUUGGAAAUAUAUCGCUGUUCCCUCACUGUCGCUGGUUCAAAAUCCUGGCACUCCCUUCAUAACAGCAUUGUGAGUAUAUCUACUCCCUGCGGACUGCCAAGAUUCAAGUAGGUAGCUCACAACCACUUACUGAAUGGGAGAUAAAUACUGGCCUACCUAGUGACACCAACAUCUUGUGAAUGAAAAAUAAAGUUUGAGUAAGAAAGAGAAA